UAUUUUUCAUUGAACAAUAAAAAUAAAUUUAACUGGUAUAGUUUAAAUUCCAAUGAAUAG
rnacentral:tRNA from 1 species